rnacentral:rRNA from 1 species
GAUGAACGCUGGCGGCGUGCCUAACACAUGCAAGUCGAACGGCGUCCAGCCUUUAAGACCUUCGGGUCAAAGAGGGGAAGACUGAGUGGCGGACGGGUGAGUAACACGUGGGCAACCUGGCUCAUAGAGGGGGAUAACAGAGAGAACUUUCUGCUAAUACCGCAUAAGCACACACUGCCGCAUGGCAGAGGGUGAGAAGAGAAUCGCUAUGAGAUGGACCCGCGUCUGAUUAGCCAGUUGGCAGGGUAAGAGCCUAACAAAGCGACGAUCAGUAGCCGAGCAGAGAGGAUGAGCCGACACAUUGGGACUGGGAAACGGUCCGAACUCCUACGGGAAGCAGCAGAGGGGGAUAUUGCAAAAUGGGGGGAGCCCUGAUGGAGCGACGCCGCGAGAGUGAAGAAGUAUGGCGGUAAGUAAAGCGCUAUCAGCAGGGAAGAUAAUGACAGUACCUGAAGAAGAAGCCCCGGCUAACUACGUG